GCAGUGCCAAGGAUCAAAUGUAGCUGGCAGGAUGAUCCUCCCAGAGCCAGGGUACAGCCAUACAGUGUGCCAUCCUGGACAGACAGAUCAUGAAGCAGAAGACCGGGAGAGAAGUCUCAGCCUACCUGAG